rnacentral:rRNA from 1 species
AUUGAACGCUGGCGGCAGGCUUAACACAUGCAAGUCGAACGAGUGGCGGACGGGAGAGUAAGGCUUGGGCAUCGGGCUCCUGGAGGGGGAUAAGUACGGAAAACUGUAGCUAAUAGCGCGUACUAUAGUAUGAGCCCAAGUGGGUGGAGGUAGUUGGUGGGGUAAAGGCUCACCAAGCCGACGCUCACUAGCUGGUCUGAGAGGAUGACGAGCAAACCGGGAACUGGGACACGGCCCAGACUCCUCCGGGAGGCACAGGAGGGGAAUAUUGGGCAAUGGGGGAAACCUGACGAGCCCAUGCGGGGGAGAGAAGGAAGGCCUCCGAGUUGUAAAGUUCUUUCGGUAGCAAGGCGUUACUUACCGAGAAAGGACCGGCUAACUACGUGCCAGCAGCCGCGGUAAUAC